rnacentral:lncRNA from 1 species
AUGCUUCUUUCCCUUUGUAAACAACACUGAUAAAAUUCUUGAUAUAUCUUUACUUAGCGCAGACUCUUAGAUAUACAUAUUAAUGGAUGUUACAAAAUACCUCCCACAAAAAUCCACAUGUAUUGGAACCUGUUUGCAAACGCUAUGCCAAUUUUAUUGUUUUAAAAAUUGCAAAUUAAAGAAGACACUCCAUAACUUUCAUUCUUAUUCAGACGCAUAACAAAAAGAAAUAAUGAACUAUAUAAAAAAGAAGAUGUGGUAUUAUUGCCAAUGAGACAACUAUCCACAAAAGACCAAAAUGACACAGACAUUUACAACUAUAGGUCACCGUACGGCCUUCAAGCAUGAGAAAGAGCUUGAACAAAUGUUGAAGAAAUCUUCAAAAUUAAAAUUUAAAAAAAUUCGGCUAAAGUCCAUUAAUACU